GGGGCGGGGCGGGGCGGGGCAGACCGGGGUCCCCUCGCACGGGGCCCUGCCGGCGGACCCGGGGCCCGACGCCCUCGGUCACACCGGCGCCGUCCCCCC
rnacentral:tRNA from 1 species